ACACAGGUGCUGCAUGGCUGUCGUCAGCUCGUGUCGUGAGAUGUUGGGUUAAGUCCCGCAACGAGCGCAACCCUUGUCAUUAGUUGCUACGAAAGGGCACUCUAAUGAGACUGCCGGUGACAAACCGGAGGAAGGUGGGGAUGACGUCAAGUCCUCAUGGCCCUUAUGGGUAGGGCUUCACACGUCAUACAAUGGUACAUACAGAGGGCCGCCAACCCGCGAGGGGGAGCUAAUCCCAGAAAGUGUAUCGUAGUCCGGAUUGUAGUCUGCAACUCGACUGCAUGAAGUUGGAAUCGCUAGUAAUCGCGGAUCAGCAUGUCGCGGUGAAUACGUUCCCGGGUCUUGUACACACCGCCCGUCACACCAUGGGAGCGGGUUUUACCAGAAGUAGGUAGCUUAACCGCAAGGAGGGCGCUUACCACGGUAGGAUUCGUGACUGGGGUGAAGUCGUAACAAGGUAGCCGUAUCGGAAGGUGCGGCUGGAUCACCUCCUUUCUAG
rnacentral:rRNA from 1 species